rnacentral:rRNA from 1 species
CACGUAGGGUGCGAGCGUUGUCCGGAAUUAUUGGGCGUAAAGAGCUCGUAGGCGGUGUGUCGCGUCGGCCGUGAAAACCUGCAGCUUAACUGUGGGCUUGCGGUCGAUACGGGCAUCACUGGAGUUCGGCAGGGGAGACUGGAAUUCCUGGUGUAGCGGUGAAAUGCGCAGAUAUCGGGAGGAACACCAGUGGCGAAGGCGGCCUUCUGGACCAAUACUGACGCUCAUACACGAAAGCGUGGGGAGCAAACAGG